AAGACUAUACUUUCAGGGAUCAUUUCUAUAGUACAUGACUAGAGAAGUUUCUCUGAUCGUGUAGAGAACCCGAAGCCACCAUGCUCUCCUGAGGGUGAAGCCGGCUCUAGGUGUUGCAGAAGGUGUCGCUUCUGCAGCUGCCUCUUGCCAUUGAUGAUCGUUCUCCCUUUCCUUUGGAAGGGGUAGAGGGAGAGGAUUCAGUCUGAGUGGU